rnacentral:rRNA from 1 species
GCGGACGGGUGAGUAAUGCCUAGGAAUCUGCCUGGUAGUGGGGGAUAACGUUUCGAAAGGGACGCUAAUACCGCAUACGUCCUACGGGAGAAAGCAGGGGACCUUCGGGCCUUGCGCUAUCAGAUGAGCCUAGGUCGGAUUAGCUAGUUGGUGAGGUAAUGGCUCACCAAGGCGACGAUCCGUAACUGGUCUGAGAGGAUGAUCAGUCACACUGGAACUGAGACACGGUCCAAACUCCUACGGGAGGCAGCAGUGGGGAAUAUUGGACAAUGGGCGAAAGCCUGAUCCAGCCAUGCCGCGUGUGUGAAGAAGGUCUUCGGAUUGUAAAGCACUUUAAGUUGGGAGGAAGGGCAUUAACCUAAUACGUUAGUGUUUUGACAUUACCGACAGAAUAAGCACCGGCUAACUCUGUGCCAGCAGCGGGGGUAAUA